rnacentral:lncRNA from 8 species
UUUUCAAAUGCUACAUUUGACAGCUUCCUAAGCUGUGCUGAGCUGAGGAGGAUUAAUGUCACCCAGGAGCACUUUGACAGGCUCAAAGAAGUUAUGUACGUGGCCUUUCAAUUCUACCCAGACUCCUUCAUGAGGUUGAGCAGGGAUCUGCAGCCCAUCCUGGAGCUGAUCAAGGGGCUCAGCUUCAAUGCCUCUAAGCCCAGGUUCCACGACGUCAACUUCACCAGAGUGUGGUUCCAGCUCAAGCUCAGGCCACGCCUGGCCUCUGUCACCGAAAGCCUCCUCGCCUGUCUCAGCACCAGCGGCCUCACCUGCCAGACCUACCAGGCACUUGUGAAUGAAUUGGAUAUGAAUAUCCUGAGUAUGGACCCUCAACGCCAACGGAUAGUUUACACGUCCUUCAUGUGCAGGUUUCUAGAGAGACAUUAUACAGCAGGAUGCCUCGUCCAUGGGAACAGCAGUGAGCAGUGGCUGAUGCGGAACUUCAGAUCCUUCUCUACCUUGGUUGACUAUGAAGACUUCUUUGCACUGAAUAUUCAUUUCAGUGGUCUAUCAGUCCUGGCACUGCUGAGCCAGGAACAGAAGGCUGAGUUGGUUCUUCACCCCGGAAAUGGAGGCCUGGACAAUGGCACCAUCAGCCUGGUCUUCCAGAGUCUGCUUGGGCCUCUAAUAAACAAUGCUCACCUGAAUCAGUCAAUGUACAAUGCAACAAUGAUGUCCAACAUGAUUGCUGGCAAUGCCACAGGACCACAUGAACUUGAUAGAACUCUAAACGACUUCCUGUCAUUCCUGAGGCUCUUGGGUAGUUUCAUCAACACUUUGGUGGGCAGCAUUCAAGCGAGGAAUGUGAGCUCUGAGAGACAGCAUGUUCUGACCCAGGCAGUAGUGAACUGGAUCCUGGCAGAGCUGGCUGGACACAUCUCCCCCAACUUCACACUGACAAAUGAGACCAUCCCCAGCCAGACUCCCUCUCUCAGCAACUCAACAUCACCAGCCUUAAGGACUGGUUCCAGCAUGUGGUCCUCCCUGCCCUGAACCGCUUCCAGCUCAACAACCAGAUUCAGAUCCCACACACCUUACUGCUGUCUUCAACCAAGUCUU